UACAGAGGGUGCAAGCGUUAUUCGGAAUUACUGGGCGUAAAGCGUGCGUAGACGGUAGCGUAAGUCGGGUGUGAAAGCCCCGGGCUCAACCUGGGAAUUGCAUUCGAGACUGCUCUGCUAGGGUGCGGAAGAGGGAAGCGGAAUUUCCGGUGUAGCGGUGAAAUGCGUAGAUAUCGGAAGGAACACCAGUGGCGAAAGCGGCUUCCUGGUCCAGCACCGACGUUCAGGCACGAAAGCGUGGGGAGCAAACAGG
rnacentral:rRNA from 1 species